CUCCAGACUCCUACGGGCGGCCGCAGUGGGUCCUCUUGCCCAAUGGGUGCCACCCUGAUGCCGCGACGCCGCGUGCGUGAAGAAGUCUUUCGGUAUGUAACGCUCUCUCAGCAGGGCCGACAAUGACGGUCCCUGAUUAAGAAGCCCCGGCUAACUCCGUGCCAGCAGCCGCGGUCCUACGUAGGGGGCCCGCGUUAUCCGGAUUUACUGGGGGGCAAGGGAGCGGAGACGGCAGCGCAAGUCUGAAGUGAAAGGCCGGGGCUUAACCCCGGAGCUGCGGUGGAAACUGGGCAGCGAGAGGGCAGGAGAGGUAAGGGGAAUUCCUAGGGGAGCGGUGAAAUGCGGAGAUAUUAGGAGGAACACCAGUGGCGAAGGCGGCUUACGGGACGGUAACUGACGGGGAGGCGCGAAAGCGGGGGGAGCACACAGGAGGAGAGACCCCAGGAA
rnacentral:rRNA from 1 species